AACGGCUAUACCAUGCUGAAUAUACCGGUUCUCGUUAGAUCACCGAAGUCAAGCAUUAUUGGGCGCGGUCAGUACUUGGGUGGGUGACCACCUGGGAACACCGCGUGCCGU
rnacentral:rRNA from 1 species